GAUGAACGCUAGCGGCAGGCUUAAUACAUGCAAGUCGAGGGGCAGCAGGACUGUAGCAAUACAGUUGCUGGCGACCGGCAAACGGGUGCGGAACACGUACGCAACUUACCCUUGUCUGGGGCAUAGCCCACCGAAAGGUGGAUUAACUCCCCAUAAGAUAGUAGAGUGGCAUCACUUCGCUAUUAAAUCUCUGGAGGACAAGGAUGGGCGUGCGGCUGAUUAGGUAGUUGGUGUGGGUAACGGCCCACCAAGCCUGCGAUCAGUAACUGGUGUGAGAGCACGACCAGUCACACGGGCACUGAGACACGGGCCCGACUCCUACGGGAGGCAGCAGUAAGGAAUAUUGGUCAAUGGACGCAAGUCUGAACCAGCCAUGCCGCGUGGAGGAUGAAGGCCCUCUGGGUUUUAAACUUCUUUUACAGGGGACGAAACACUUUUAUUCUUAGAAGCUUGACGGUACCCUGGGAAUAAGCACCGGCUAACUCCGUGCCAGCAGCCGCCGUAAUAC
rnacentral:rRNA from 1 species